rnacentral:lncRNA from 1 species
GUAUGAUCGUCAAUGUGAUAACUAUCCACCAAAAUUCAAAUCAGGUGGUUGUAAAUCAUUGUACAUGUAGAUAUCCGUACGGCCUUCAACAAAGAGAAAAACCCAAACCGUAAAGUCGGCAAUAAAAGGCCUCCGAAUGAAAAAUAUGAAACAACAAUGGUUCGGUUUUGUGAUUCUAAAUCGUGAAUGAAGGAAUUAAAAGUGGCGACCAAAAUAAACAGACUGUAUAUACCAACAUGCAAUGAAGUA